UUCUGGGCUGAUGGACAAUCAAUAAUGGAUUAUUCUUCGUUUGGAGAUGUUAUUUCUUUUGACACCACAUUCUCCACCAAUAAGUUUGAAAUGCCAUUUGCUCCGCUGCUUGGUGUUAACCAUCACAAGCAGACUAUUGUUUUCGGUGCUGCAAUAAUAUUUGAUGAAACUGCCGACUCGUUUGUGUGGCUUUUCAGCACCUUCCUACAAGCAAUGUCCGGUAAGGAGCCAAAAACAAUUUUCACUGAUCAGUGUGUUGCAAGUAUGAAUGCAAUUGCAGAGGUAUUCCCGAGCGCAAGCCAUCGCCUUUGUCUAUGGCAUCUAUAUCAAAAUGCCGUUAAACAUCUGAGUCAUGUUAUUGCUGAC
rnacentral:rRNA from 1 species